rnacentral:rRNA from 1 species
UACGUAGGUGGCAAGCGUUGUCCGGAAUUAUUGGGCGUAAAGCGCGCGCAGGCGGCCAGGUAAGUCUGGUGUGAAAGGCCGGGGCUCAACCCCGGUGUGCAUUGGAAACUGUCUGGCUUGAGUGCAGGAGAGGAAAGCGGUAUUCCACGUGUAGCGGUGAAAUGCGUAGAGAUGUGGAGGAACACCAGUGGCGAAGGCGGCUUUCUGGCCUGUAACUGACGCUGAGGCGCGAAAGCGUGGGGAGCAAACAGG